AUGCUAUUACCUGUGGAAGUGAAUGAUGAGGGGGAGGACACCCCUAUCUGGGUCCGGAAUAAUGAGAAAAAGUUUACUGUGAAAUCAGUUUAUAACCACUUGUUUGACAUGUACUUGGAUAGGUCAUUCAAACACCUCUGGAAAGGUAAGAUUCCGCUGAAGAUCAAAAUUUGGUUUUGGCUAGUAUGGCAUAAUGUCAUAGCAACAAAAGAUAAUAUGAUCAAAAGAAAAUUUACAGGUGACCCUUUGUGUUAAUUAUGUCAUGAGAAUGAGGAUAUCAAACACCUCUUUAGAGGGUGUUCCGCUACCAAAUAUUUCUUGGGGGUAGUAUGUACACUUGUACAGCGAGCUGCUAUACAAACGGUUUUUAGCCCCUUUCCGCGACGACAUUUUAAACCAUUGCCUUGCUAG
rnacentral:rRNA from 1 species